UACGUAGGGGGGCAAGCGUUGUCCGGAUUUAUUGGGCGUAAAGAGCGUGUAGGCGGCCAGGUAGGUCCGCUGUGAAAACUCGAGGCUCAACCUCGAGAUGUCGGCGGAAACCAUCUGGCUAGAGUCCGGAAGAGGAGAGUGGAAUUCCUGGUGUAGCGGUGAAAUGCGCAGAUAUCGGGAAGAACACCCGUGGCGAAGGCGGCUCUCUGGGACGGUACUGACGCUGAGACGCGAAAGCGUGGGGAGCGAACAGG
rnacentral:rRNA from 1 species